rnacentral:lncRNA from 1 species
CCGGCGCGCACCGAAACUCCCGAAUGCUCCCAACUUCACCGGAACUUCAACGGAACCAUUCAAAUGGCUCUCCAACCGAAUGUACACCGUAACUUCAUAACUUUAGAAGUCCGGUACCUUACAAAUAGUGCCAAGUGCUUGGUGCUAUUGAGUUUUCGGCCAUUGGAUGAAAAAAUAUGCGGUUAGGAUGAUAGUGGUCCCCGGUUAGGUGAUAAUAGUCCCUUAGGGUUGAGUGGAUGGUUGGUUGAAUAGUAUAAUCUAACGGCUGGAAAUGAUCUACCCGUAGAAAAUUCGAUAAUGUCAAGAGAUUGAUAAUAUCAAUAGUAUAGUAGUCGGUCUCUCUCUCUCUCUCUCUCUCUCUCUCUCUCUUUCAUUCUCUCAUUCUCUCUCUCUCUAUAUAUAUAGAAUUAGGCUACUAUACUAUCUAUAGUACCAGAGCUCCGGUACUAUAGUCUUGUUUUCGAUCUUAGGGUGUUUAAAUUAACGAUCCACACCGUUAAAUAUGAUUUAGGGUAUAUAAAGUUCUUAGGAAUAAAAUUUUAGUUUUUUUCGACAUCGUUUACUUAGUAAAUAAAUUAUGUCAAAAUGGACGGUGGAAAUUGAAUAAUCUUUAAAAUUUGAGCAUAGGACUUUUAAAUUCAAGAUCAAGAAUGUUAACCUUAAUCUAGAUAGUUUAAAGUAUUUUCUAUCAAAAUUUGAAGAAAUUUAAAUUCUUCUACACCGUUAAACUCCAAACUCGCCAUAGUAGCCAUUGAAAAUUAACAAUUUUGAAAUGAUUUGAUCAUAAAGUAAACUAUAUUGAAAAAAUAUAAAAUUUUAUUUCUAAAAACUUUAAAUACCCUAGAUCAGUCUUAACGGUGUGGAUCGUUGAUUUGAACACCCUAAGAUCGAAAACGAGAUUGUAGUACCGGAGCCCCGAGACUAUUGAUAGUAUAGAAGACUAGCUCUAUAUAUAUAUAUAUAUAUGGUUAAUUUCUUACAGGUCCCCACAAAUAUGGUGAAUAGCAGAUAUACCCCUGCAAAGUUCAACUUUCAUAAGUUAUCCCUGCAAAAGUUCUAAUGUAUUCAAAUAUGUCCUUCUGGUUAGAAUCUGUUAGAAAAUUGUUAAUUUUUCAACAGUAGAAUUGUGAAAUAACAAUUUUGCCCUUGCCCUCUUCCUCUUUCUCUUCCUCUUCAGGUUGUGGGAGCAGAAGGCGGCGACGGCGACGGUGACGGCGACGGCGACGGUGACCUUGAGGAGCUUGUAGGGGCUGCGGCCAACGAGGACGAGGAAGAGGCGGAAGGCGAAGGCUCGGUCGAUGCCGUUGGAGGCGCCCAUGACGACGGCCCACGCGGGCACCACGAUAGCAACGACGAUCGAAUCAUCGACGAUGACGAAGAAGAAGAAAAAGAAAAAGAAGAAGAAGGAGGAGAAAAUGAGGAAGAAAAUGAGGAUACGAAGAAGAAGAGGAAGAAGAAGAAGUAGGAGAGGAAGAGGAAGAGGAAGAGGAAGAAGAAGAAGAGGAAGAAGAGGAGGAGGGGGAAGAGAAAGAAGGGUAAACAUAUCAUUUUACCUUUUUAACUGACCAUGGUUAAGUAUUUUAACUAUGGUUAACUAGAUUUCUCUAACGGAUAUUAACAGCAGGGACAUAUCUGAAUACGUUAGGACUUUACAGGGAUAACGUAUAAAAGUUGAACUUUGUAGGGAGAUAUCUGCUAUUCACCAUGUUUGCAGGGAUCUGUAUGAAAUUAACCCAUAUAUAUAUAGUAGGACUUGUGUGCUAUUAGGAGUACGGAGGCCUCCGUGCUCCUAAGUCGUUUUCGAUGAGAGGACUUUCGAAUUGACGAUCGGCUCCGCUAGACUUGAUCUAAUGUAUUUGAACUAUCUAUAAAAUAAUUUCUGCAAAUUUUCGAUAUCAUUUACCUAGUGAUCGAAAAGAUUCAAAAUCAACAAUUUUUAAUGGUUGAUAUAUGCCAUUUGCAAGUUUAACGGUGUAGAAGUAUUCAAAUAAAAUUAUCUUUUAGCGACAAUUUAAUAGCGGCGAUUAUUGGAUAGCCGCUAAUACUUUUCAUCAAUUUAUGUUUAGCGGCAAUUAUUUUAUAUAGCUGUUAAUUUUAUAUUAAAUAUCUAACUCUAAUUCAAACGCUCUCCCAUCCUAAGUUCCUACCCCCCCUCCCCAAAUCGCACCACCUCUUCCCACGCGGAGCUCAACCUCGAUCGAGCUCUCCCCCUCUCCUUCACCUUUCCUCUCUCCUCCCUCUCCUUCACCUCUCUAGUCUCUCCUCCUAAAUCGUCGUCGACCUCGCCAAAACCCUAACCCUAACUCCCCGCAUCUCCCCUUCUCUCCACUGAGGCCCCCUAUUUCGCUUUUCCCCUCUUCCUAGCACUAGAGUAUAAGGCGACGAGGAGAGAGGAGGAAGGGAGAGGGGGCGCGGAGAUGGAGAGCCACAAGAAGUCUCUGCUGAGGGUCUGAGUCCGGGUCCGGGUCACAGCGCGAAAGCGGGGGCGGGAGUCGCCAUCCUCCGACGAGGGCUCCGGCCGAAAGAUGCGGGCGCGGGUGUGUGCUAACUAGGUGAGGAAGCUUGCGUGUCGCGAGAUCGGCGGCCUCCCUCGCAUGGCCCGCGUCGCCUCCUCUAGCGCCCCCGAGAAGUUCCGCAACAUCCAGCUCCAGGUCCGUGCUCCCUCACACGUAAUUUGAGUUCCUGUUCCUUCGCUUUCUUGUUGUUUGGUUGGAAUCGUCGAAGAUCGUGCGCUCAGGGCUCGGAAUUCGUUAGGGUUUGGUGACUAUGAUCGUUGUGAAACUCUUAAUUCUGUGAGUUGGAAGCGAAGCUCCUCGGCCAACACUCUGCCGAACGCAACCAGGACGCCACCACGGUAUAAUUAAUUAGUAUAAGAUCUUAAUAGAAUGCUUAAUUUGCGAUGUUUGUGAAUAGUAUAAGAUCUUAGCAUUUUUGUCGUAGUAACUUGACAAUGUAUUAGUAUAAGAUCUUAGCAUUUUUGUCGUAGUUUGUUUCUGCUGAUUUUACCCCUUGACUCAACAAUUCAAGUUUACAUAUUGGCGCCCUCUUCAUCAUUAAUAUUAAGAAUGCACCAUUUCAGAAAUAAAUAAAAUCUUACAAACCUCAUCGAGUUGGUUGAAUCAAUCCUAAAGUUUCUCUUCUUCUCGUAAACUCCCAAAUCCAGCUCAUGGAGUUCCUUCGGGUCACUAGGUAACUUAAGCCUCCAUUUCUUCGGUGCUGCAACUAAUACCCUCUCCAUCUUAACGAACGAACUCCCUUGUGGCACUUUGUGCCUAUAAAUGCAUCACGGGUUGGAGUAAACCCAAAGGACGGUCCUAGCGGGUGAGUUCCUGCGAUGAUGGACUUAAUGUGAAGCAAGUUAAUGUGGCGAAACCCCCGGGUUAGCCUUGAGAUUAAAGAAUAAAGAACAAAGAGCAAGGAAUAAAGAACAAAGAGCAAAGAGCAAAGAACAAAGAACAAAGUGUAAAGAUAAAGAACAAAAGAACUUGCAUAAUCUGCAUAUGUUAAUGUUGAGCAUAUUCCUUGCUUUAUUGUUCAGGCAUAUUAGCAUCAUGUUGUAGAUUGGUUACUAUAUUUCAGCUUAUCCUUCUAUUAUGCCUGAGUUAGUCCUAGUGGGAAAGUCGGUGAUGUUGGGGCCGAACCUACUGGGAACUUUGUUGUAGUUCUCACCCCACUAUUUCCACAGAGUCGGGACCGAGCGAGCCGGCGAGCGACCGAGGUAAAGGUAUCGCGCCUUAGACAGAGGCCACCAGAGUUGAGUUUGGUUUACAUUUUGUUGGUAGAGUACCCUAUGUUCAUCUUUUGUAUUUGAUGACUAGUGAUGUUGAGAAAAAAAUGUAAAGCUUAUUUUGAGGUAAAUGUGAUGUAAGAAAGAAAUGAUGCAAUGUGUAAUGAAGUACAAAGAAUCAUGAAUGUAAAUGGAUGCAAUGUAUAUGAUCAAAAAUGAAUCAUAGUACUUGUAAAUGUUUAGUUUCCUUUUUCUUUCACUCGUGGCUAUUGCUUACCCUCGUGUAAGCCGUUUGUGUAUGUUUCCGCUAGUGCUUUUCUCUAUUGAUGAAAAUGUACAUGUGAUGAGCAUUGGGCGGAUAGGGGAAACUCUGUCCGUUCGGCGUCUGUUUGACGUGCUCGGGUCGGGCCAAAUUGGUAUCGGCUUCGGGGCGUGACAGAUAUAGUGGUAUCAGAGACAAGAGUGAAAGAAUAGGAAUGGACCUAGAGACCCUUAGGAUUGGAAAGCCUUAAGGAUCUAGGAAACGUGAGUGACGUGGGAUCAAAGUUAGCGAAAGCAUGUCAUUGGGUCAAGAUGGGACGUCUCUAAUGUGAUUAGAGGCUAAGUGUAAUUUUCAUUUAUCCUCUACUUCUAGUGUUGUGUCGGGCGGCCGACGACAUGGCGCUUGAAGUAAGGAUGAAUGUGCAUGUUGCUUUCGCCUAAUUGUGUAUGGUCAAGUAAUGAUGGUCAAGUGACUAAUGUGAGUUGCUUCUUUUCAGGAAGCAAUGGCACCUCGACGUCGAUCGCAGGCAAGGUCGAUGCCGGAGGAAACGAAUGCGGUGCCCGAGUAAUCCGGAGCAAGUGGCGACGGAGAGCUUAGGGAACAAAUGGCCGCGCUUAUUGGCGUAGUGUGGCAGCAAGCGGAGUCUGUUCAACGCCAAGGGGAACAGAUUCAGCGGCUCUAGGAGACCUUGGAGCGCCAGCAGGCGGCGGCGGCCCAGGCGGGUGUCGAGCAUGUCACGCCCCCUGUGGUAGUGCCAAGUGUUGUUGAGGGAGCGGCGGCAGCGGCGGCUGUUCCAGUUACGGUAGUACCGGCAGGGUCGGGAACUUCGAAUCCCGAUAGCGCGGCAGUCGAUGCGGAGCGAGAGCGCACUUUGGCGGCUCUCAUUCAGUUCAAGAAGUUCGACCCACCUACCUUUGAAGGCGGUUUGGUGGAGCCGGCGAUCGCGGAGUCGUGGAUCGACUCAAUGGAGACGCUCUUCGAGGACUUGAAUACCUCGGAGAAGGACAAAGUGUACCUUGCCACACACUGUUUUGAGAAAGCGGCGAAGGUGUGGAGGAAGCGAGUUAGGCGGGAUCGACCUACCGACCUCCCGCCUAUGAUGUGGGAAGAGUUCAAGAGAGCGGUGUUCGCGAACUACUUCCCCGACAUGGUGAAGCGGAAGCUACAGGACAAGUUCCGCAAGUUGAGACAGGGCGAUCGAUCGGUGGGGGAGUACGAGCAAGAGUUCUCCCACCUUAUUGAUUGCGUUCCCAACGUUGUUCGUGAUGAUCGGGACCGGGCGGAUUGGUUCUUGCGAGGACUCUAACCCCGGAUUUAUGAGAAAGUGCAAAUUUUGAAGUUGUCGACCUUUGCGGAGGUCUUCGAUAGAGCCUUGUGGGCGGAGCACGGUAGCGCCCAUGUACUUGAAGAAAGGAAAGCUAUUGCCGAGUCGAAGGACAAGGGCAAGAAAAGAGCGGCGGGCGGUGCCGGGGGCCGGCCAAUUGCUAAGAAACCCCCUCCGUAUCCCCGACAGCAGGCGAGGAAUUGGAGACCACCUCUAUGUGUUAUUUGUGGUGGUGAGCACAAGGUGUCGACUUGUCCGCAGCGCGAUGGCAAGUGUUUCAAGUGUGGCCAACCGGGACAUCUUAUCCGGGAGUGCCCGACAUGGACGUCGUCUGCGCCAACGGCGGCUUCAACACCGUCUACCCCGAGACAGCUUGCGGGGUUACCACCGGCGAUGUCGGCUGGACGCGCGUCAGCACCGCGUCAGCCGGAGGGAUCGAGAGCGCCUAGCGGCCGAGUCUUUGCCGCUCAGGUGGAGGAGCAACAACCUGCAGCACCCGACGACGUCGUGGCAGGUAUAGUUGUGAUUAAAGGCACUAGAGCUAGAGCAGUGUUUGAUACAGGCGCAUCUCAUUCGUUCCUUAGCACUUCAUUUGCUAAGACUCAUGGCAUAGAGAUGGUGUACAAUGAGGAUUACUGGUGGGUGAACGCUCCAGAGCAUUCAUUCAGUGUCCAUAACGAGUGUUUGGCGUGUCCAGUGCAAAUAGGCGAUUGGAUUAUGCCGAUUGAUCUGCUAGUGCUAGAUCAGAUGUGGGGAUUUGAUGUUAUCUUGGGGACCAACUGGCUCUCCAAGUACUAUGCGGUGAUAGAUUGUGAAAGCAAGGUGAUCACUUUUCAUAAGCCUAAUCAAGAAGAGUUAGUCUACCAAGCAUGCAAAAGUAGGCGCUUCGCGGCGACUAUAUCGUCUGUGAGGGCGAAGAGAAUGAUCAAAGGAGGGUGUAAGGCCUAUUUGGCAACCAUGGUGGAUGCUCGAAAGGAGUACCCAGAGUUGAGAGAUAUUCGAGUAGCGUGCGAGUUUCCGGAUGUGUUUCCGGCGGAGUUACCGGGACUGCCACCGGAUCGGGAAGUUGAGUUUGUCAUUGACUUGAUUUCCGGGGCGGAGCCAGUUUCGAAGGCUCCGUACAGAAUGGCACCGGUGGAGCUAAAAGGUCAGCUACAAGACUUGCUCGAUAAGGGCUUCGUGAGGCCGAGUGUGUCACCGUGGGGAGCUCCGGUGCUAUUUGUGAAGAAGAAGGAUGGCACACUUCGACUCUGCGUAGAUUAUCGCGAGUUGAACAAAGUGACGAUAAAGAACAAGUACCCGUUGCCGAGGAUUGACGAUCUAUUCGAUCAGUUGCAAGGGUCCAAGGUGUAUUCGAAGAUUGAUCUCCAAUCGGGGUAUCAUCAAUUAAAGAUCAGGCCGAAGGAUGUGCACAAAACGGCGUACCGUACGCGGUAUGGCCAUUAUGAGUUCACGGUAAUGCCGUUUGGGCUUACUAAUGCCCCGGCAGCAUUUAUGGACUUGAUGAAUCGAGUCUUUAGGCCAUUGUUGGAUCGAUGCGUCGUGGUAUUUAUAGACGACGUGUUGGUUUACUCAAAGAGUGAGAAGGAGCAUGAAGAGCAUCUGAGAGCGGUGUUGCAGAUACUCAGACAAGAGAAGCUCUAUGCAAAGUUAAAGAAAUGUGACUUUUGGCUGAAGGAGGUCACAUGUAAUGCACUGGAUCUUGCAAAUCGCAAGAUUCGAGUGUUUGAUCUGUGUGUGGAGCCUCUCCACAGUUUUUGGAGGGUCGUUGAUAGUGUUCCGACCUCUAGCACGCAUCCCGAGGAUGUUGGAUUGAGACUUGGCACCAAAAUCCCGAAACUGAAAUUUUUGGUCAGCUCUCGGGUAGCCUGCAGCAGAGCUUGUACCGGAACAAGGUUGGUCUUGUACCGGUACAAGGUUGAUGGUUGUACCGGUACAGCCAUCGGGCUUGUACCGGUACAGAGCCGCAGACCCAGCAACCCGAGCCUCGGGUUUGCAAUUUCGUCGGCCUUGUACCGGUACAAGAGCCCGUGUACCGGUACAAGGAGGCAGUUUUUGUGCAGUUUGAUCUGCAGGGGUGUUUUUUCUAUUGUAGCACUUCUAUAAGUGCACCCCACGCCCCUUAGGGCCUCCCCUGUGCAGAGACCAGCAGGAGUUGAGGUAGGAGGAGCUUCCUCUCCCUUCCUUUGCAUUUUUACUCCUUUUGCUUGGUUUUAAUUGAGUUUUCUCUCCUCUAUUUGCAUCUUGGUGGCUCCUCCACCAUUACCUUGUACCGGUACAAGCCCUGCUGAAGGCUACCCGAGAGCUAACCAAAAUUCGUUUUUUCGGGUUUUGGUGCAAGGCUUUAAACCACAAUUCUCGGGAUACGUGCCAUAGGUCGGAACACUGUCAACGACCCACCAGAAAAACUGGAAAAGCUCAGAACACGACCAAACACUCGAACCUCGCAAUUUGCAAAGGUCCAGUGUGUUACACCUAUGAAGCUUCGGACCUCCGUGACGUUCGUUGGGCGCUGCUAAUUCUCGACUGCUUCGACUUUUCUCGGGUCAACCGAAACACCGCCCUCGGAAAUCACGUGCCCUAAGAAGGCAACCUCUCGAAGCCAGAAGUCACAUUUCUUUAGCUUUGCGAAUAGCUUCUCCUCCCGAAGGAUUUGAAGCACUAUCCGCAAAUGCUCCGCGUGCUCCUCGUCGCUCCGCGAAUAGACCAAGAUGUCGUCUAUGAAGACCACGACAAAUCGGUCCAAGCACGCUUUGAACACACGGUUCAAUAGAUUCAUGAAUGCUGCCGGGGCAUUAGUGAGCCCGAAAGGCAUAAUCGUGUACUCAUAGUGUCCAUAUCGCGUACGAAACGCGGUCUUCUGAACAUCCUCCGACUUAAUCUUCAACUGAUGAUAGCCGGACUAUAGGUCUAUCUUUGAGUACACUCGCGACCCCUGUAGCUAAUCAAAUAAGUCGUCAAUUCGGGGCAACGGGUACUUGUUCUUUAUCGUGACCUUAUUCAACUCUCGAUAAUCCACGCAGAGUCGAAACGAGCCAUCCUUCUUGCGCACGAACAACACCGGGGCUCCCCACGGCGAUACGCUCGGUCUGAUAAACCCCUUGUUGAGAAAAUCUUGCAGCUGAUCCCUCAGUUCCCUUAGCUCUGCCAGCGCCAUGCGAUAUGGGGCCUUUGAGAUCGGCGCCGUCCCGGGAACCAAGUCUAUAACGAACUCGAUCUCCCGAUCCGGCGGCAUCCCCGGUAACUCCAUGGGAAAUACAUAUGGGAAUUCCCGCACCACCGAUAAUUCUUCUAAAUUCGGAGCCACUCGGUCCACUUCCACGACGGUCGCCAAAAAUGCUACGCAGCCGCCGUUAACCAACUUUCUAGCUCUCGUCGCCGAUACCGUCACGACAAAACAAGAGCUUCGACAAGCUCGAUAAACGGACUCCUUCUGUCACGCCCCAAGCCCACAUCUUUGGUCGGUUUCGGGCACGCCAACAGACCGUCGAAUGGACAAGGUUUCUCCUGUACAUUCAAGGCGUCACAAUCCAUACAAAGCGCGAGGUUCCAAACAGGAACAAUACUCAACAACGAUUGUAUAAGGAAGGUAUCAAACAACAUAACACAUCCUAUGUUAUUACAAGCAUUCCGAUUAGAUUCAUUUUCUUACAUCACACUUGCAUAUUACAUUUUACAUUACAAAUUACAUUCUUUUACAUUCAUACAUCCAAAUACAAUCAAGUUCUUUCAAUUAUUGCAUUCUUGGUUCUUUUCAUUUUUAUACCCCUAAGUAGCCGACUCGGGAUACUGCUAUCUGGUCUCGAUGGCAGGGCGCUAACUACGGAGCUAUGCCCUUGCCUCGCGCCGCCGCGCCGCUCACGUGCGAACCUGUAACACCCCAAAACAACGUGGGGUGAGAACCAACUCCAUGGUUCCCAGUGGGUACGGCCACCCAAGGGAAAAGCUCGACCAAUAGGUCCGAGGAGGCACUGCAAUCAUAUUAGUCCAAAAACAUCUACAGAUAUAUAUAUCAUCAUGUAAUUAUGCAACUAAUAGAUAACAUGCCUCACGAAUAUGCAAUAUGCAAAUCAUGCAACUCAUGAAAGUAGAUUAUUGAUUCUACUCUUUAUUUUUAACCAUUCUUUACUCUUAGCCAAUCUUUAUUGCUAAUCAUUCUUUACAUUAUUAGCUAUUCUUUAGCGUGUGCUAUUUUUUGACAUUAGCCGUUCUUUAUUCUUUAGUCUUUACUCUUUAUUCUUUAUUCUUUAUUCUUUAUUCUUUAUUCUUUACUAAGGGUACUCACACCUUAGCCAUAUUAGUCUCAUUUGCCAUUCUUUCUUAUGGUUACAUUACCUUAACCACUAUGCCAUCCGACUCGGUCUUAAGUCAAUCAAUUGCGGAUAGCCCGCGCUCAAUCAGGCUCGAGGUGAAGGAACUAUCACAUGCACCUCAGCCUUAAAUCCUCUCGACUGUAGGUCUGCCACGGGGUGAGGAAUGCCAUCGAACCCUGGACCACAAGUCUCUCGAGCUCUAGCUUAUGGCAUACCGGGCGAGGAGAACCAACAUACCCGUUGAAUCACUGUCGGGCGAGGAGAACCAACAUACCCACAGUAUGAUUCUCAUUAGCCAUCUCUUUUACCGGGCGAGGAGAACCAACAUACCCGUUGAAUCACUGUCGGGCGAGGAGAACCAACAUACCCACAGUUAUGAUUCACCUGUGCGCGGUCGCAAGCCUUAUCUACUGCACUAGCAGCCUUCAUUCCUAGGGAUUCCGGAAUCCAUUUCUCAUUACUCAAGGGUUGGUCUUAACCCUAUGGAAUUGACCUAUCUAGGUCCAAGCCUUUACUCAACCUAAGUUAAUACUUUAGGUUCGUUGCUUUCAUACUCAUAGCCUAGGUUGUUAACACUAGGUCCAUUACUCUUUUCUACCUAGGUUCACUUGACUCUAGGUUCUUUACCUUUAUUUCACAACCUAUGUUCUCUAACAUUAGGUUUAAUGCCCUUCUCGUUAACCUAUGUUCAUUAACACUAGGUACAUUAUCACUCUUGUUCAACCUAUGUUCUUGACGCUAGGUUCAUUGUCAUUCUUGUUCAACCUAUGUUUAUUAACACUAGAUUCAAUGCCACUCGAUGUUCUUACUUUACAAUGCCACGUUCUUUACUCUACUUAGAGUUCAUUAAUCUUAGUUCACAUUCAUAUCUAGGCAUAUGUCUUAUGCAUUCAUUAUUAGCAUCUCAAUCAUGCACUUAUAUAUCAUCUAGUUCAUGCACAUAGUUCAUGUGUUUACUUAACAUACAUCUUAUACAUGCAUUUAACUUAUGCAUUCCUGACUAGCAUAUACUCUAUGCAUUCAUUUGACAUCUAGCUCAUGUAAAUUAACAUCAACUCAUGUAUUUACUUAGCAUUCUUUCAUUAGGUCAACAUGCAUUCCAUUUAGUAUUUCUAUAUCAAAUCAUAUGCAUUCACUUAGCAUUUCUAUAACAUGUAACAUGCAUUCUCAUUAGCAUUUCUACUUUAUGUCAUUAGCAUGCAUCAAUAUGAAACCACACUAUUCUGAGACAUAAAGGCGACCUAGUCGCUUCGGUAAACACAACCCACCUUAAAUUGCUCUCUGAUUGCUUAUUGUCACUUGCAAUCGGCCUUCCGCGGCACCCGUAACCCGGUUCGGCCCGAUUUUGCUAAUACUCACCAACCGUGUGUCGAAUCGCGGCACCAAAAAUUAUAGGUCUACGGUUAUGUGUCACGGUGCUCCAAAUCCAUUUUCAUGAUUUUACAAUGUCGCCUCGGCCUUCCAGGUGGAAACUAAGCCUAAAUGCCUGUUUCUUUAAUAACUUUACAAUGGCUCGACGAAUCGCCGAACCGACUUCACCAACGCGUUCGUUUACCUAGCAAUUAGGUUUACGGAGGGUCAAAUUAGAUCAAACCCUACUAUUUUACAAAACCCUAUUCGGAGCCCUAAUAUGCAAUUAACCUCCAAAUAAUCUAAAUUAAAUGGAGCAACAUACUAACAAUGCUCAUUAGAGGCUAUUAGAACACUUAAAGCUAAGGAUUAAGCCAAAUCCCAAAAGCUUACCAUAAUGUGAACGCCGCGACGAAAGCACGCCGCUCAAACGGCCGCACGAGAGCUCGAACCGACGCCUCCAACACGUUCGCAAGCUCGCUCUCCACCAACCCUCAAAUUUUUAGAGAGAGAUUUGGAGAGAUGAGAGAGAUCUUUAGAGAGAGAAAGGAGGGUUUCUUCCCCUCUCCAUGCGUGCGUGUGAUGCUUUGAGGCUGCAUGGUUUGAGGGAGGAAGAAGAACAAUGGCUUCUUUUAUAAUUACAGCCUCCAACACUAUUUACUUCGGGCAGCUCGAAAUCUGAUAUCUUUCGCCAGAGCUCCCUGAACAUCCGUUUGAGCUCAAAUUUGACAGUCAUAUUCGGUUUUACUUAACGAGUCCAAAGAAGUUUUAAUAUUUUAGUUUCGACCCCGUUUGGUCGCCGAAAACUGUACCGAACUGUAAUCUUUAUCAGAUAACUGUUGGAUUUUAUUUUUCACCUUCCGGGUGUCAGAAUGACAUGAAACUUUAAAUCUAGCCUCAUAAAAAUAAUUUUGGUUCAUCCUCCAGUUUUCAUAAUUUUCUGACAUUGUACAUUUCUGCUAAUUUAUCUGUCCCGUUUCCGACAGAAAAUUCUAAAUCUUCUGUUUUUAUUCCGAUUUCAGCACAAGUCACCUCUGACUUAUGUUUUACUUCUCUAAAUCCAAUAAAAAUAGUAUCUCACACUAUUUUUAUUUUUAUAUCAAAAUCCGGUAUAUUACACCUUCUGUCUUGGCUCCCGAAAGGUGAUCGAUUUAUUCUUACAAUCGAUCGUGGCGUAAUACCUCAAGAGCUAGUCCAUGCCCAAAAUGACGUCAUACGUCUCCAGUUUAUUAAGUUCCAACAUCCGGAUGGGCAUUAUCCAGUCGCCUACUUGCACUGGGCACGACGAGCACUCCAUGUAGGUAUUGAAUAACGACUCAGGGCCUUCAACUCGCCACUUGCCACUUGCUUCUAUGGGUAUGUCAUGCAUGCGUGCAAAUGCUCUACUAAUGAACGAAUGUGUGGCACCUGUAUCUAACAUAGCCCUGAAGCGAACUCCAUCGAUUAGAACCAUACCUGCCACAAUGUCAGGCUCCUCGGCUUGGGUGGACUCCUCGGCUUGGGCCUGAGCGGUGAAUACCCGUCCGCUUGGCGCUGAUCGAGUCACCUCCGGCUGGCGCGGCAUCAGUGCGCGUCCCGCUGAUACAGGAACAUAUGGGGCCCCUCCAUGAUGAGGCGGGGGUGCUGGAGUCGACGCGGCUGACGGAGUAAACGAGGCCCUUGUUGGACAGUCGCGGCUUAUGUGCCCUUCUUGUCCGCAGUCGUAACAUUUACCUUGACGUUGCUUACACUGCGGCGCUCGAUGACCCCGGCCUCCACAGAUAACGCAUUGCUAUGGCCCACGGCCCCACGACUGUGAUCGCGGAUACUUCGGGGGCCUCCUGGAACCAGAUUGUCCCCGCGAACCACCGCACGAUAGCUUCCUCCCCUUGUCUUGGGGGUCCAGCCAGCAGCUCACGUUCCUCCCGCACGUGGGCAUCUCCAUGCUCUGCCCACAGAGCUCUGUCAAAGACUUCGGCGAAAGUCGUGAGCUUGAACAACUGCACUGCCCGAUAUAUCCACGGUCGAAGUCCCCGCAAGAACCAUUCGGCCCUGUCCCCGUCAUCUUUAACCACGUCUGGGACACAGUCUAUACUAUGGGAGAACUCCUGCUCGUAGUUUGCUACCGAACGAUCCCCCUGUCUCAAUUUGCGAAAUUUCUCCUUCAACUUCCACUUCUCGGUGUUAGGGAAGUAGUUUCCAAACACUUCAUUCUUAAACUCCUCCCAGAGCAUUGGUGGAAGGUCAGAGGGCCGAUCCCGCUUCAACUGCUUCCACCAUACCUUCGCUGCCUUCUCGAGGCAAUGGGUGGCGAGGGGUACCUUGUCCUGCUCCAAGGAAUAUAGGGGUCCUCAAAGAGGGUCUCCAUAGAGUCAAUCUAGGACUCCACCACCGACGGCUCCACCUUCCCCCCUUCAAAGGUUGGUGGCUUAAACUUCAUGAAUUUAAUUAGAAACGUCAGCGCACGCUCCUACUCCACUUCCUCGGCCGUCGUUUCGGGUGUUGCCGAACCCGAAGCUGUCGGAGGCGCACUUGCCGGCGGGGGACAGGCAGCCACCAGAACCGCCACUAUACCCUCACCCUCAGCCGCUACCGGCGCGCGCGCCGAAGGUGCGGGUGGAUCGCGGCUCUCUGUCACUGUUGCGGUCGCCGCCGCCGCCGUUUGCCGCUCCACGAAUCCCUGGAGCGGCUCGAACUGGGCCUCCUAGCGCUGCAUCGCGCCCAACAUCGCAGCGACCUGCUCACGCAGCUCCUGCACUUCCUCCGAUCUUGGCUGCUCGGGCUACGCAGAAGGCGGUACCGGAACAGACCUACGUAUGUAACGUCUUGGGGACAUUUGCUCCUGAAAAGCAACAACUCGGUUAGUUAUCUUAAUCCGAUAACUUCUUAACGUUCACAAAAUUAAACGACUCGACGAUGAAAUCGGGCGGAAGCACACAAGUGUUCUAGUUCUGGACUCUUAGCGUCGCGUCGUCGGCCGCCAACACAACCACUACGAGCCAAGAAACGAGUGUCACUUAGAUCCGUCUAUAUUCACAGCUAGAGACAUAACAUCAUCUCCGACACAAUCGAUCAACUUCCGCCACCGCCGUGGGUUCACGUUCACUCACGCCCCUAUAAUCUUAGGGUUUACCAACCUAGGGUCUCCUAGGUCAUCCUAUACUCUCUCUUUACUUGCUCUUACGCUCUGAUACCACUUUAUCUGUCACGCCCCGAGACCGCCACCAAUUUGGUCCGGUUCGGGCACGUCGGACAGACGCUGAACGGACAGGACCUCCCCUGUCCGCCCAAGGCUAAGCCAACAGAUCAUGUAUAAGAAUUUACCCAGGAAAUCAAUUCAUAAAUACACGAUCACAAGGAGCACCACCAGUGCCAACAAAUAAGAGCAAGAUACAAGUAUGAUACAUACAAGUAAAUAAAGAGAGAAAGUCUAUCUAUUACAUUCAUUUAACUUAAUACAUUUAAUUCCAUCUUUUACAUUCUUCCAGAACAUAUGUACAAGCACUCUCAAACCUCACCCCUAUACAUCAUCUACUCUCAAAUAGAAAGGAUGACAGCUAAUGCAAAAAGGUAGAUACCUAAUGCAACUAGGGCGCUAGGCCCUUACCGCGAUCCUCACGCUCGCCAGGGACACUCGAACUCGGACCUGUAAAAAGUGGGGUGAGAACUAUCUUCCAUAGUUCCCAGUGGGUUCGGCCGCCGACUCCGCCGGUCUCCCCACUAGGUCUAAGUAGGCACAAGUAGAUAAACAGAUAGAUAGAUUUGGAAAGCUAUGAAAACAGGAUAGUAAAGCUACCCUACUGUGCCCGAAUCAUAUAUAUGUAGAAUGCAUACACAACAAAGUAGAUAAUCAACUAGCCCGUCAUAUGUCCAAAAAGUAAAGCUAUUUACUUGUUCAUCAAUCUCGUGGCUCACUCACUAAUUCGCCCACUACUCGCAUAGCCAUCUCGACGCGUAGGGAGACUAACUCAAACUACGAAUCCGAGACCGUCUGCGGGACCCCACAUAGGCCAUCCCUCGGGACCCCAAAUAGGCCAUCCCGAUCCCAUGGGACCCCAAAUAGGCCAUCCCUCAUGACCGACUCCGGAGCGCACUACUUGUGUGGAGCGACCAUCACAAGUUGGGAACAGACAAUUAGUACAAUCCAAUUCUCCCACCUCAAGGGUACCCUAUCCUCUAGGGCUACUAUCACCAUAAGUCAAUGUGUUUAAUAUACGCUACGACUCACAAUGCCACUCGUUCUUUGUUUAUUAACAACUAGAUGCCACUCGUUCUUUUGUUUCAACCAUUGCAUCAUUCUUUCAUCGCUACACUAUAGGAUUACAAGUCUCGACCCAAUCCUUAUUAAUCCAAUAUAUCAAAUAUCCAAUGUACGCUACGAUAUCAUCAAGGAUGGCAUAAGGAAAGGCAAUGCACAAUUAUCCUAUAAUGCAUGUGAACACAAGAUGCAAUGUCUCAAAAUACUAAGACAUAAGAGGGAGCCCGAUUGCUUCGAGAUGGUCACCACCCACCUCUUGGUGAUGCCGCGAUGGUAGAAAACUCGAUCUCGCUGCCCUUGGUCGACGCUUCGACUUCUCGGGUCGAUCCGAACCCUUAAGCUCUUGGUUCGGCGAUAUUUUCACACCCGCUUGUCGUAUCGACGAACCGUCUUCACCGACGCGUUCCGAGACCUAGCAAUUUGAUUUACGACCUAUUAAAAUAGAUCAAAACUCUAGAUUUCCAAAAAUCCCGAAUCCGUGCCCUAGGUUGGAAACGAUGGGGAAAUCCGUGGUGCGAGCUUCAAAUGCGAGCUCAAACCAUCGCCCUAGCUUCAAUAGGUUCCAUUCAAACCAUUUCUAAGCAAUAAAACCCAAUCUCAAGAAAUCCACCAUGGAUGAGUUUGAAGCUUACCUCAAUACCAAGCUCCAAGCAUGCUCUAGCUUGAAGGAGAGAGGGAAGAAGACGAUCUUCUUCUUCUUCUUGGUCUUCUCCUUCCUCUUCUUCUUCUUUUCCUUCUUUCCCUUUUUCUGCUUCUCUUCUUUUUUUCCUUUCGUUCUAUAGAGAGAGAGAGGGAAAGAGAGAGCAAAUGAGACAAAUGGGAGAGAGAGAGAGGUCCCCCACCUGUCAUAUAGGCCAUUUUACAAAUAGGCCCCUCAACUUUCCAUCUAUUAAACAGCUUUCACUGGGCUGAUUUCGCAGUGAGGGACCAGUCCUAGCUCGGGGAGACCGGUCCCCGAGAGCCUUCCAUCUCGGGCAGAAGGGAUUUCGCGUUCGGGAACUGGUCCCUGCCUGAGAGACCGGUCCCCGGGAGACUGGUCCUUGUCCGAGAGACCGGUUCCCGAGAGUUGGAUUUUCGGGACUUAGCCAAAUUUCGGCUAUUCUCGCUGGGCUAACGUUCGGGGACCAGUCCUUCCCUGCCAAGGACCGGUUGCCUCAAGAAUCCCCGCAAUCCCAGCCUGAUGGGACCGGUCCCUCCCUGCCAGGGACCGGUCCCCGAGAGCAAUUUUGCUCUAGUGCAGAUUUUGCACUGCUGCUCUCGCGGACCUUUCCUUAAUGCACCUUACGCAUUUUAAUCACCUUCGGACUUUCCAAAGCCUACACGCUCGACAAUUAGUAGAUUCUAAGCGAAGUCUAAUCCUCAGAUUUCGAGAAUUCACUUUCUUACAGUCGCGUUGUUUCGCAAUUGUGGCGGAGUUAGCGGGUUAAGGUGAUUAACCAAGUUGUUGUGUUUCAGGAGCCAAUGGCACCAAGGAGACACUACGUGUGUAGAUCCGUUCCGGCACCACCUCCCGUGGUGCCAGAGCAGGCUGGACCUCCGGUGGUGCCAGAGCCUGCUGGGCCUAGCGAGGUGCAGGAGUUACGAGUGCAAGUAACUGAGCUAACCAGUCAGGUCAAGCGGCUCCAGGAACUUUUGGAGCGGCAGGUGGCGGCGGCGGCUGCGACGGCAGUUGAAGGCCGUGGUCCGCCCGUGCCCUCGGCUCGCGCGCCUAAUGCGGCUGAGGGUAUGGGCAUUGCGGCAGCUCCGGCAGCGACGCAUCCCCCGCCAGCAAGUGUUCCUCCGGCAGCUUCGGGUUCGGCGAUACCCGAUGCGGCGGCCGAGGAAAUGGAGCGAGAGCGUUCGUUGACGGCUCUUAUAAGAUUCAAGAAGUUCAACCCACCAAUCUUUGAAGGGGAGAAAGUGGAGCCGUCGAUGGUGGAGUCAUGGAUUGACUCAAUGGAGACACUUUUUUGAGGAUAUCUAUACCUCGGAGAAAGACAAUGUGUAUCUCGCCACCCAUUGCCUUGGGAAAGUGGCGAAAGUGUGGUGGAAGCGGGUGAAGCGAGAUUGGCUUUCUGACCUUCCACCUAUGUUAUAGGAGGAGUUUAAGAGGGCGAUGUUCGCAAAUUACUUCCUCGACACGGUGAAGCGAAAACUGCAGGAGAAGUUUCGCAAGUUGAGGCAGGGGGAUCGCUCGGUAGCGGACUACGAGCAAGAAUUCUCCCACAUCAUAGAUUGUGUCCCGGAGGUUGUUCGAGAUGACCGGGACCGGGCCGAUUGGUUCUUGCGAGGACUUCAGCCGAGGAUUUAUAAGGCCGUGCAAAUAUUCAAGCUCACAACCUUUGCUGAGGUUUUUGAUCGAGCAUUGUGGGCGGAGCAUGGUGAUGCCCACGUGCGAGAGAAGCGCGGGCGUCCGAGAAGGACAAGGGGAAGAAACGACCUUGCGGUAGCUCGGGGGGACAGUCAAGUUCCAAAAAGCCUCCGAAGUACCCGAGUAGGCAGUCCGAGAGCCAGGGACCCGUGCGAUGUGUAAUCUGCGGUGGGGAGCAUCGCGCAAGAAACUGUGAGCAUAAGGCGAGAUGGUGCUUCAUGUGUGGUCAGGCGGGUCAUAUUAGCCGUCAGUGCCCAGAGGGAUUGUCGCCUGCCUCGACUGUAGCAUCCGCCCCGGCGGCUCCGAGGCAGUUUGGUAGAGUUCCACCUGCUGCCAUAUCCACGGGACGUGCGAUGGCGCCGCAUCAGCUUGAGGUGACCCGGUCGGCUCCGAGUGGUCGAGUGUUUGCCGGUCAAGCGGAGCGACCUGCUGAGGUCGAGGAGCGUGACAUCGUGCCAGAUAUGAGUUAAUUAAAGCAAUCAUACGCUUCUGCAUGAUGUAGACUUAAGAAAUUUCAUGCAUUUACCUUGUAGUCGUUCGCUACUAUUUGUGCAUUGGUAUAGUAGGGACCAAGUGAACGGGUUGGUGUAGAUACGCGAGCAUAGUUAUGUGGUGAGUGUAUUGCCUGCUGAAGCAAGUAGAGAGCUAGAUAGCACUAGCAAAAUGCUGGUGAAGAUUGUUGGACGAAAAGUGAGACUCGUAGUAGAGCGAUCGGUUAGUGGCCAAGUAUAGGCACAUGGACCUAGUAGUGCCUCAAAUUGAGGUGGGCGAAUCGUGCCCGUGUGGCCGGUGUGCAUAGGCAGGGUUGCCUAAUGCUGGACUUAGAGCACGGCGUAUAGAGCGCUCGAGUGUAGAUACUCGUAGAGUGCGGAUUUGAUUCAGCCGAGAGAGUGUAAUGGCAGUAUCACUUCAGCAUUGCUAAGUGUGAAGUGAGCCAUGGAACUCGUAAGGCUGGCGGCUCGCACUAGGUGCUUAGGAGCCGAUAGUGGUACUUAUAGCUCGAUAGAGUAUGUCGUGUAGGACGACGACGGUGGGUAUCGUUUGGGGACGAUCCGUGCUUGGACCAUUUGUGGACUGUGGAGCCUGGGCCCUUUGGGCAGGCGCAGUUAGCUGUGAGUGAUAGCGGCUCGGUACCUACGGGUAGGGCAGAAUUUUGGUCAGGAUGGUAGUCCGAGCUUAGACCCGGGAGCGUGGAAUGCCACGUAUUGGAUCGCGAGAUUGAUGAGAUACCGAGAGUUUGAUUAUGACCCAACUCGAGGACUUGACGUGGUUGGGGGUCAUGGUUGCUCCUGUUUGGAGUGUGUGCGAAUUCUCCAAUGAGAAUUUCGCCCAAUGAUGAUUGCGUCUACGAUCCGAGCGAGAGAUGCUAUGCGUAGUUGCGAUAGGUUUAGGCGCUAGGCCUAUCGUUUUGUGCUAUCGAGUUUUAUGCUGUUAAAUCUACCUAUAAAUAUAGGGCAUGUUUUUUUAAUUAAAAUAUGAGUUAAAAUUUAAAAAUUAAAUAUAUAAUUUUAAAUUUUAAUUUAAACCUAAAUUAAAAAUUAAAAUUUAAUCAAGCAUUUCGAAUCUAACUUAUGAAUUUGAAUUUAAAUUAAAUUUUAAUUUAUAUAAAGUUUUAUUCAAAUUUUAUUUNNNNNNNNNNNNNNNNNNNNNNNNNGCAUGUAACUCCAUGCAUAUAACAUAAUAAAAGAAAUAAAACUAAAUGAAUCCCCAAAACUACUACCUUCUCAUCUCCCAAAACUGCUCCUCUCUCACCUCCCAAAUACAAAAUAGUGGUAUGCAUGUAAUAAAAGCUAGCAAUGACCUCUUAGUUAUCAAACUUCAAAUAAAUAAUGGUAUGCAUGUAAUAAAAGCCAAGACCUCUUGGUUAUUAAAGCUUCGUUGAUAGCCUAAAGGAGGAUAGAAAGCUUUGCUUUAGAAAGUGAGUCUUUUUAUUAUUAUCAUAGCCAAUAGCAUCCCAAAAUUCCUGAACUCUUCCUAAUUUUAUUUAUUUAUAUAAAAGGAAAGAGACUGUUCUUGGUCUAAGGCCCUCUUUUAUCCUCUUUCGAGAAGACCAUAGAUGAUAUUAGGAGAUUUUUUCGAUACAGAAUGGCAAAAUGGAGUCAUCGGAUAAAACUUUCGAAUUGUCUAAUUGAAGCUGCUAAUGCAGAUUCCUCUCCUUCUAUGUCGGAUGAAUAUGUAUUAUUUCUCUCUCUCUUUUUUUUUUAUUGCAUAUUACUGUUCAUGAAUAAGUCAUUUGAGUUAAACAAAAUUGAUGGAGUAAAAUUAUAAAAAAAACUGAUUAAAUUAGUAUUUACAUCAACAAACUAACAUAAUAUAUAGAUUGUUAGCUUAUAGAUAUAUGAAAAGUGGGCUUUUACAAUUUAACGGUAGUUAAAAACUAACUAUUAUUAUUUUUAAAUUUAUUUGUAUGACUAUCAUAUAUUCCUUCAUAUUUUUUCUUUUAUUUUUUUACAUUUCGUGCUAAUUCUUUGAUGGCAUGACAAUUUGAAUGUCCAUAACAAAUGCAAUAAUAAUUAAUUUUUAAGAGAAAUCUAAUUUGAAUUAGAAAAGAUAAUAGGAUUGAUAAAUAUCUUUAUAUGAUUAGUUAAGUGUGAAUUUGAACCUCUUUAGUUUUUUUUUAUUAUUUAUUACCCUUCAUAAUAUUUUAAAUAUUUUUUCUAUUUUUUUUUAACGUUUUUAUUUGUUUGUUAAAUCUAUACACUAUAAAUUUUUACUAAAAAAUUUCUACCCGCCGCGUCCCGCGCGGGUCCUACGCUAGUAAUAAUAAUUUGCCUUACUCCUCCCCGUUCCCCAGAGCAGAGUCGUUCGUAGAAGAAACAUAAUCCAGAGUUAGGUUUAGGGUUUCGGCCUUCCGAACUCCGAGCUCAUAUUAAUGGCGACGGUUCUCGGGAAUGCGAUCUUCCACCCUCUCCUCCUCACCCCUCCCUCCGUCCCCUUUGGCGAGAGCCGCCGCGGCGUUGCUGCUUUCGGCCGCAGGGGGCUCGGCGGCGCUCGGUGGCGGGCCAUGGUGCAGCAGCAGCAGACGUUCCAGGGCCCCGCCGCCAGCUACGCUCGGGAGAUGGAGCGGCUUUCCGCCAAGGAAGCGCUUCUCCUCGCCGUGAAUCCCUCUCUCUCUCUCUCUCUCUCUCUCUCUCUCUGGGGGUGGAUCGAAGAAGGGAUUUUCGAGUUUUUUUUAUUUGAUCUUGUGAUUCAUUCUUACGGAAACAUUGGUAUAUCUUUGAUGAAUCUAGAAUUAUUUUGGAAAAGAUGUUCACUGUUUAAUUGAAAUGCAUCUAUAUUUUUUAAUGACCAGUUGUUCUUCUGGUGUGUUUCCACGAAUUUAAGUAGGUGCCCCACUCUUCUAGUGCCAGGGAAUCGGUGGUUCUCCUCGCCGCCUCAACACCAAAAUUGAUGCAAGAGAUUUUGCAUUCUGAUUGAAUCUUAUGGCACAUUCUUCACUCUCUUAGCUAAUUGUGGGAAUAUCUUUGAUAAUUUUGUAACUAACUAUCACGUGAAAGGUGUUCAAUGUCUAGCGAGCUGUGCGGGCAUUUCUUGAUACUUAUUUAGUUUGUUGUGAGAGAUAAUUGAGAAUGUAUGAAGUCUUUAUCUCAAUCAUAUUUACCGGUUUGAAUUGUAUAUAUAUAUAUAUAUACAGAAUUAGGCUACUAUAGUAUCUAUAGUACCAGCUCCGGUACUAUAGUCUUGUUUUUGAUCUUAGGGUGUUCAAAUUAACGAUCCACACCGUUAAAUAUGAUCUAGGUUAUAUCAAGUUCUUAGGAAUAAAAUUUUAGUUUUUUUCGAUAUCGUUUAUUUAGUAAAUAAAUUAUGUCAAAAUGGACGGUGGAAAUUGAAUAAUCUUUAAAAUUUGAGUAUUGGACUUUUAAAUUCAAGAUCAAGAAUGUUAACCUUAAUCUAGAUAGUUUAAAGUAUUUUCUAUCAAAAUUUGAAGAAAUUUAGAAUCUUCUACACUGUUAAACUCCAAACUUGCCAUAGUAGCCAUUGAAAAUUGAUAAUUUUGAAAUGGUUUGAUCAUAAAGUAAACUAUGUCGAAAAAAUAUAAAAUUUUAUUUCUAAAAACUUUAAAUACCCUAGAUCAGUUUUAAUGGUGUGGAUCGUUGAUUUGAACACCCUAAGAUCGAAAAUGGGACUAUAGUACUAGAGCCCCGGUACUAUAGAUAGUAUAGGAGACUAGCUCUAUAUAUAUAUAUAUAUAUCUAGUUCUAUAUAUAUAUAUAUAUAUAUAUAUAUAUAUAUUUGGGUUAAAAGAAGCUGGGUUUCGUGUUUACUUUGACUUUUCAGCAAUGUGGUCCCUUUUUGAUCUUGCUUCUGUUUAGAAUCCUGAAGAAGUGUAAAGCUUCACAGCUUUCCAAAUUUUGUUAAACUUGUUAUGAAUUCUAGAGUAGUUGGAUUUCUUUUAUCUAAUCCCGAUCUUCAGGCUAUCCUUACCAUUAGAACUUAGGAUGCUUUGCAAUUUUCCAUUUUUCAGUUCAAGGAUGCUGGGGGAUUCCAAUCCUUGGUCAGUGGCAAGACUACGGAGAUGCAGAAGAUUGACAUCAAUGAGAGAAUUGUUGGUCUUGAAAGGCUCAAUCCAACUCCUCGUCCUACAACGUAUUGGUCUAUUUGUGCCUUCACAUUUAUGAUUCACAAUCAUUAAAAACUAGCCUUUUGUUAUGGGAAAUGAGUGAGAACAUUUUAGAUAGUUGUAUUCUUACCCCUCAUCAUCAGCCUUCCCUGUUCCAUUCAUUUAUGCCUCCUUUGGUAUUGUUGCUGCCUCUUUAUAUUCUAAAAAUUCCAAUGUGGCAAAGUGUAUGGUCCUAUGAGGGUUGAUUGCAGUCCUUACAUUUAUAGCGUUUGUUUGGAAAACAUAAAAAGGAGUAGCAACUUUUUUCCUGUUUGAUUUCUUUGAAGAUAUCAUUUUGCAUUCAGCCCAGGUGUGUCGCAAGCCUACCAAACAAUGAUAACAGAAUAAAAGUCCAUUUGCCAGGGAAUCCAAUCAUAUGGACUUUGCGCUUAAAACAGAAAAAGGCAACAAUGCCAAGGGGACCUUAAUUUUAUUGGACUUUUAUGAUCUUAAUAGUAUAAUUUACAUGGAGGCAUUUGUGUGUCUUCCCUUUUCAGGUCACCCUUUCUAGAAGGCCGAUGGAACUUUGAAUGGUUUGGUGCCGGUAGCCCUGGAUCAUUUGCUGCGAGAUUUCUGUUUGAGUAGGUAUCUCCUUCUAAAUGCUACUGCAUAGGUAAUUUGAAACAAGUGUAAUAAGUGAACUGUUCCUAUUUCUUGAUUUGCUAUUUAUCUGACAUUGUAUUUAAUCACAAAAAAUAGUGUGCCCGAGAGAUGCUUAUGGCUACUAGUAGUAAUGUAGUUAGUGAGGUGGAUCACAUGAACAUACUGAAUUGAUUUAAACAGAUAAGAGUGAAUGGUAGAAUAAUACUUAUGCAACCAUGUUUCUCUUCAUAGGAGAUCACCUACAACUUUGGCAUACUUGUUGGGACUUGACAUGCUGAUUAAGGAUGGAUAUUCAAAGGUUACAGCAAACCUUAAGUUCCUAAAUACGGUAAUCACAUUAAAACGGAUUAUUUGUUGCUGUCAAAUGCUUUAAAUAUUUUAAAGAGAGUUCCUUUGAAUGUAGUAUGCUUAUAGAUGCAUAAGCUUUUUUGAAUAGUUUUCUUGUUGCAUGUGUGUAUUUGUGAGUUUUUCAGAUGAUCCUUUUAUUGUAUGUUAACAUUUUAUAAACUGCAUACUGUUCCAAUGAUAGAUCUAAAAGGAUAUGGGAGAAAAUAGCUUGAAUAUAUCAGUUGGGAACAUAAUAAAUAAGACUUGGUUGGAAAAUUAAGCUUGUUACAUGUUCUAUAAGUUGAUGAUAAAUUGAUGAUUGAAGUCAUAUAUCCAACAUUUCAUCCUUUUUAUUUACCGAGUUGCCUGCUUCCUUUCAUUCUAGUUUGUAUGUACAAUUUUCUAGAUUCCACUCAGUAGAAAAUUAUUUUGCAAGGUGAACAUUCUGCUAUUUUACUAAGAAUUGCUAACCAUAAACAGUGAUAAUGGUAAAGUUUUCUACCCUUAUAUAGUCUUUACUUGCUAUUGAUUGAAGCUUCUCUGGUGGCAUCUUCAUAUACAGAUAGAAAGCAAGUUCCUGCUAACCACAAGAUUGUCCGUGGAGGGCCCUAUGAGAAUGAAGGAAGAAUAUGUUGAAGGGCUUCUAGAAACGCCCACAGUUAGUGAACAGGCUAUCCCUGAGCAGCUGAAGAGCAUAGUAGGGCAAGCAACUGGAACUUUGCAGCAACUUCCAGCCCUUAUAAAGGAUGCAUUUGCAAACGGGCUUAAGUUACCACUCAGUAAGAAAUUUCUGCUCAAACUCACUAACUGGAUUAUUUUAAUUCUAAAGAUUCUGAAAAAGUUAAAAGCAUUGUGUGUAUUUUGAUUAUGUGGGCUGCUUCUGUGUUUAACGAGCAUGCAGAAAAGUUAUGUAAAUAUAUUGAGCUGAUGACUUACUUUUUGCUUGUAGCUAAAACAGCUGCAAGAAUUGUUUAACCACCUGGUGCUUUCUGCUGUUAGUGCCAAUUGUCACACAUUAUGGGGUGGUUAGGUAUAGGAUAAAUGGGAAAUGCUUUUGAGUCCCCCAUAUGAGUACUGCCUAUCAUUGCUAAUGUGCUGUCUGCACAACAAUGUGUGUGACACAUUAGCAUGCCAGUAGAUUAGUAAUCUACAGAGGGCAUUCUGAAGUAUCUGUAGCAGUACUCUUUGUAAACACCUACCUUACCGGUCUUUGGUAAGUCCUUAUUUCAUUUCUUUGUUAAAACAUUUUGGAUUGUCAUGAAGACACUGAUCCAAUACUGGAUUUCACCUUACGGCUUUGUUUUUAUUUUUGCUUUUUCACGAACUAAAAAAUUAGUCUGAGCAUGACGAACUCUCAAAUUAGUAUGUUUGGAAAUAAACCUUCAGUUAGUCUGAGCAUGAUGAACUCUCAAUUUAGAUGUUCCUUAAGGGAAGUUAAAAGAAAAUUUUAAAAUUACUAAUCAAUUGUCCUAUAGCUAUUCUAUUUCCAGCUUUUUAUAUUGUGGGGAGUGCCUUGUUGGUUUCUCAAAUCUACAAGUUGUCCUAUAGCUAUUCCUUGACUUUAAAAUCGAAAUCAUCUUAGUUUCUUAUUUUUAUUAACUUAGACAAUUAAAUACAGGUACCAAUAAAGAAAAAUGAUUGAAAGAAGCUCCAAAUUAGAGAGUGAUGUAAUACCGGUAUAGAGGGACAGAGUCCUUUUGGAUUUGCUUCAGAGAGAGAUCAGAAUAGGCAUGGUUAAAAAUAGUGAGAAUAUAUAGGAUUGCUGCAAGGCCUAGCUCCAAGCUUGAGCAGUAUGAGGGGUGCCCUGUCGCACAUGGCUCGUUUGUUAAAUACAAGCUUGACAAAUAAGAUAAUCAUUAUAAUAAAUAAAAUAUCUUCUGUGUUCCACAAUUUUUCAUGUUCCCUGGAGUUAAGGGUUAUUGUGGAAAGCUUUUUUCACAUCUUUUUGUAUAUUCCCUGCCAUUAUUGUGUUACUCUGAUGAUUUAAUUUAUCCUCCUCCGAGGAUUCUUACUACUUUGUGCGUGUCAAUCCUCCAUUGGACGUUCUUCUGGUUGCUAUCAAUGAAGGAUCUUGGUGGAUUUUGAACAUUGUUUUCUUUUGAAAGUCGUGUUUGUGGAGAAUUGUGUUGAAUGGUGUCGUGUUAGAUGGAAUAACCUUAAACUCUUUUCCUUUUAUUUUACAGAUGGAACUUUCCAGAGAUUUUUCAUGAUUUCUUAUUUAGAUGAGGAAAUACUGGUAUGUUACUUUCUCUACUCAUUAUGCAAGGGCUGAUAUUUUAAUUUUAGCUCAUGUAUGUUUCUAAAAUUAUCAAGGCAAACCAAAGAAAUCUUUUUUUUUUUUUUUUUUUUUUUUUUUUUUUUUUGAGAGAGAGAUAGGUAGCAUGCUACCUACUUUGUUCAGUUUUUUAAAAAAUGAACUCAGCUGGAAAUGUGAAGCAGCUAGGCUUCGAAUUUGGGAUCUUGGGUACUAACCAUCAAGCCAUUUGCUAUUUGCUCUAAGGACAAUCGAUAAGUGAAGGAAUCUUAGUUCUGAGACGAAUUGCGUUUAAAAAACUAUACAAUUAGGCUUCGGUUCUUAUUAGAUUAGGGUAUACUAGUUAAAUUGAGAAUUCAUGCCUAUUAUAUUAGGGCUAAUUUUUAGUAUUGUUUUAAAUUGGAGAUUCCUUUUCAGAUUAUGGGGUAUUGGAUUGAUAUAAUUGUAAUUUUGAAUGAAAAUCAAGUUUGUUGAGAGUAAAAAUAUUGGUCUGGCCAUCAACUAGCAUAAUGCCAAGGAAAUUCACCAUCUAGCUGUAGGCUAGAUCUUGGGUAUUUCUACAGAAGUUAUACUCCUGAUCAUUUCAGAGGGAAUUCGUUUUCAAGAAUUUAAGUGUUUACCUACCUUCAUGAUGGAUGGCAAAAUUAUAAAAGGAAGUGCCUUCUUCCCUUGGAAUUAGGAAACAUUUGAUAUGUGCAUUAAUUCUAAUCAAACAGCCACUUUUGGUAUCAACUAGCUAGUCCGUAAUCAGUGGCGGAUCUAUAGCCACCUCAGCGACCCCACUGAGGUAGCCAAAGAAAGGCCUUUAUGGCCUUUCUUUUGUCAUGUUGGCCCCACUUUGGGGUCAACUUUGAUCCUAAAGUGCGGUCAACAAGUAGGAUAAUUUAUUUACUAUUUACUUUUUUAAUUAUAAUUUCUUUUUGUUUCGGAAUAGUAGUUGGUUUGUGAUGUUACAAUAUGAAAAAAUAUCCUUAGUAUAUUAAUUAUUUUUAAUUAGUCGUAUUUGGUUAUUUUAAUAUAUAAAUAGUGGUUGUUUUGAUGUGUUACAAUAUAUAAAAAUAUAUUUAGUAUAUUAAUUAACUUUAGUUAGUUGUAUUUUGUGAAACGUAAUUAUUGAUUUAUUUUUCUAUUCUUGUUGGCUAUUGCCUAUUGGCAUAUGAUUAAUUUUAUGUGGUUUAUAAGAAAUUAUUUUAUUUAUCACUAAUUUUUGCUAAUACAUAUAUAAAAAAAAGAUUUGAGGGUGUUACGAAUAAGGCUAUCAUACAUUGUUUCCAGAAUAUGAAAAUAAGUUGAGAAUAACCGUAAAUAGCAAUGAUAUAUAUUUUUUGUUUAUACAUUAUUUGUCACGCUCCAGGACCGCCAGUUUGGCCGGUUCGGGCGCGUCGAACAGACGCCGGACGGACAGCACCUCCCCUGUCCGCCCAAGGCUCAAAACAAACAAGAUCAUGCAUACAAGUUGCCCAGAAAAAACUUGACAUCCAUACAUGAUCAAUGCAAGCGAGAAACGAGAGCACAACCAGUGCUAAACAUAUAAGAGCAAGCAUCACAAAUAUAAAUAAGUGAACGAAAGAGAGAUUUCUAACUAUUACAUCCAUUCAACCCUUUUUACAUUGCAUUGAUUUACAUUUUAAGCUUUCAAAACAUAAACAUAAAGUUUAUAAUCUUUCCAAAACACCUCACCAGCUAUACAUCAUCUACGCUCACAUACAAAAGGUAGCUCUAAUGCAUAAUGGAAAGUCACUACACUAGGGCGCUACGCCCUUACCGCGAUUAUCUGCCGGUCCGCUCACGUGUGUACCUGUACCCCAAAACCACACGGGGUGAGAACUAUAAAAAUGUAGUUCCCAGUGGGUUCGGCCGCCGACUCUGCCGAUCUUCCCACUAGGUCUAAGCUGGUAUAGAUAGAUAGAUAGAUAGAUAGAUAGAUAGAAAUGAAACUGCAACUAUGCUCUACUAUGCCAUCAAAUGCAAACAAUGCAUGGAAUAUCAUCUAGCAACAAGCCUACUAUCAUGCUAGCAUGCUUCAACGAUGUAAUGAAUACAAAUACGACACAGUUAUGCAAUCCACUAAUAUAUACUAUGUCUAAUCAGGGUAUGAAUGCAAAUCCACUUAUGCUAUUCAUGUCAUUACCCAAUCCACUAGGCUACCCCGCCUAAGAUCUCAAAUCUCAUAGGUACUUACACCACAAUCUAGUAGGUGAAGAGGUGAAGAGCUACCCCGCUCUUCGCCCCGACUGAUAUCUCACAUCUCAUAGGUGAAGAGCUACCCCGCUCUUAUCUCACCCGUCUCACAUCUCAAAGGUCAUAGAUGAAGAGCUACCCCGCUCUAAUCUCAUAGAUAAUGAGCUGCCCCGCUUAAUCUCAUAGGGGAAAGGCUACCCUGCCCUUCACCCCAACUCACGUCCUAGUCCAAUGGUUGAGGAGCUACCCCGCUCGUAUCCCACCCGAUGAGCUACCCUGCUCGUGUGACAACUCCGGAGUGCACUGCUUGUGUGGAGCGACCACCACAAGCUCAAAACAGACUAUGUGAGUAUGAUCCAAUCCGCGCCAAUUGAGGAUAUCCUGUCAACUAGGUUAACAAACACUCGAAAGUCCACCUAUCCCUAGGUCCAUGUCAAGUGUCUCAACCAUACUAAUUAAAUCACACUAGGGAAUCCAACUAUCCCUAAGUUCAAUGCUGUAGUAUACAAUUAUCAUGCAAUGUAUCAUAACUAGGGAAACUCAACUAAUCCCUAUGUUCCAUGCCAUGUGUUUCUUUACACUAUGUUCAAGUACCACUCAUCUAGGUAUUAUUAACUCUAGGUUCAACAAUCCUAGGUUCACAUCCGACCUAUGUUUUAAUAACACUAGGUUCAUAUGCCACCUGUGUUCUCUAAACUAGGUUUUCAUGCAAUAUGCCACAACUAGGUUCCGAUGCCACUCGUCAUGUAUUUAACAUUAUCUACAUGCCACUCGUCCAAGUUAUAAAUGUUUUCUAUACAUUAGUUCACAUGUCACUAGUUUUCAUCAUCAAGUCCAAGUUCUCUAUUCUCUUAUCAUCAUAGGAUCUCAUGUCACAAUCCUAAUCUUCAUGCAUUCUAGAUUUAGGUGUCAAGUCAAUAAUACUACACAACUAGAUAUGCAUGCAAGGAAAGUAGAAAUGUAAUAAUACAUACAUCCUACAAUGCAUAAAAACCAUAUGUGCUAUAUGACCAUAAAUCUAACUCGGACAUAGAAGGAAGCCCGAUUGCUUCGGAUGGACACCCCCCACCUUUAGGUGAUGCCACGAGCCCACGAUUCCGAUUUCGCGAUUUUAGGAAGCUUUCGCCGCGAGCUGCGGCAAUCUAUACCUCAACAAGCCUUUUCUUCAAUAUCUUUGCACCCGCUCGACGAAUCGACGAACCGAUUUCGCCAGCGCGUCGGAAUACCUAGCAAUUAGGUUUACAAUCACUCAAUUUAGAUCAUAACCCUAGAUUUCCCAAAACCUCAUUUUGGAGCCCUAGGUGUUCAGCAAUGCAAGAAUACCUCAAACAAGGUCUUGAAUCAUGCAAUUAACACCUAUUUAACAUCCUAGGGUUCAUCUAAAACCAUCUUUAUAGUAUAAGAGUCUAAUCCUAGAGAUUCCCCAUAAUUGAGCUUAGAAGCUUACCGCUCCAAGCUUGCUACUAGCCAAGGAAGGAGAAGAAGAAGAAGAAAUCCCUUCUCUUGAUCUUGAUCUCCACCAAAAUCCUCUCCUCCAACACCUUCUAGAGAGAGGAAGAGCACUUAGAGAGAGAGAGGGAGAUGCUUUUGGUUGCAAAUGAGAGAGAGAAGGAGAGAAAAGAGCCCAAACUCUCUUCUAUACACUCAGCACAUUUGCACAAAGGCCUCUCAACAAAGUAAGUGUUGCACAGCCCAAACUGGGCCAUUUUCGGGUGCUGGGACCGGUCCCAGGUAGUGAGAGACCGGUCCCCGAAGGUCCAGAAAAACAGCAUUCCAGACUUAGCCAAAUUUUCAGCUUUUUCAGCUUUCGGAGUCCGUUUUUGCUCGUUUUUGCUCGUUUGACCUCCGAUUCUUUUCAAAUCGAACCGAGACUCUCCAAACAUGUUUUCAAGCGUGUUUUCAUCAUCUUUUCAUCCACGCUAAUGCCGGAUUUAGUUCACGGACUGACAUAGCCUUUCGGGUCCCGUUUGCGCGCCUACGCGCACCAAAACGCCCGAAAGCUUCCGAACUUCACCGAACUUCACCGGGACGAUUCAAAUGGCUUUCCAACCAAAUGUAUAUCGUAACCUCAUGACUUUAGAAGUCCGGUACCUUACAUCCUCCCCUCCUUAAAAGGAGUUUCGUCCUCGAAACUAACUCACUUCAAACCCAGUUCACACCUCAACUCGACGUAUU